rnacentral:rRNA from 1 species
GACGAACGCUGGCGGCGUGCUUAACACAUGCAAGUCGAACGGUGAAGCGCCUUCCUUUUUGGUGGGUGUGGAUGAGUGGCGAACGGGUGAGUAACACGUGAGUAACCUGCCCCCUUCUUCUGGAUAACCGCAUGAAAGUGUGGCUAAUACGGGAUAUUCUGGGUCUGUCGCAUGAUGGGUCUGGGAAAGAUAUUGUUUCGGUGGGGGAUGGGCUCGCGGCCUAUCAGCUUGUUGGUGGGGUGAUGGCCUACCAAGGCGGUGACGGGUAGCCGGCCUGAGAGGGUGGACGGCCAGACUGGGACGGAGACACGGCCCAGACUCCUACGGGAGGCAGCAGUGGGGAAUAUUGCACAAUGGGCGAAAGCCUGAUGCAGCGACGCCGCGUGAGGGAUGGAGGCCUUCGGGUUGUGAACCUCUUUCGCCAGUGAAGCAGGCCUGCCUCGUUUGUGGGUGGGUUGACGGUAGCUGGAUAAGAAGCGCCGGCUAACUACGUG